AAAGAUUCACAGGGUCACGUAAUUCGGCAUGUGGGUGUGAUGUGGGAAAGUGUAAAUUCACUCGGCGCGAGAACGUGAAACUCUAGACACAGGCUUGUGAAAAAUCUGAUAAUUUUAUACAUGGUGCCGGUCUGGUGAAGCCAUGGAUUCAUGCACACCGAAAUGACUGACCUCCGGUUUCAGAACAGUUGAUUCAUACAUAUGUGAAUUGGAAAACUGUUCAAUGAUCAUGUCUGACUGGUUAUCUUCACGCUGCUGCCCCAGAACGACCGACGAUUUGUUAUGAUAUUUCACCAAGAGAACUGAUUUAGUAUCCCAGAGCACACCA
rnacentral:lncRNA from 1 species